AGCGAACGCUGGCGGAAUGCUUAACACAUGCAAGUCUCACGGGCAGCAAUGUCAGUGGCGGACGGGUGAGUAACGCGUAGGAAUGUGUCCUGGGAUGGGGGAUAACGUCGGGAAACUGGCGCUAAUACCGCAUAUGGCCUUUGGGUCAGAGCCGCGAGGCGUCUUGGGAGCAGCCUGCGUCCGAUUAGCUUGUUGGUGAGGUAAAGGCUUACCAAGGCGACGAUCGGUAGCUGGUCUGAGAGGAUGAUCAGCCACACUGGAACUGAGACACGGUCCAGACUACUACGGGAGGCAGCAGUGGGGAAUAUUGGACAAUGGGCGAAAGCUUGAUCCAGCAAUUCCGCGUGGGUGAAGAAGGUCUUCGGAUUGUAAAGCCCUUUCGACAGGGACGAUGAUGACGGUACCUGUAGAAGAAGCCCCGGCUAACUUCGUGCCAGCCGCCGCCGUAAGAC
rnacentral:rRNA from 1 species